GACGAACGCUGGCGGCGUGCUUAACACAUGCAAGUCGAACGGAAAGGCCCUGCUUUUGUGGGGUGCUCGAGUGGCGAACGGGUGAGUAACACGUGAGUAACCUGCCCUUGACUUUGGGAUAACUUCAGGAAACUGGGGCUAAUACCGGAUAGGAGCUCCUGCUGCAUGGGGGGGGUUGGAAAGUUUCGGCGGUUGGGGAUGGACUCGCGGCUUAUCAGCUUGUUGGUGGGGUAGUGGCUUACCAAGGCUUUGACGGGUAGCCGGCCUGAGAGGGUGACCGGCCACAUUGGGACUGCGGUACGGCCCAGACUCCUACGGGAGGCAGCAGUGGGGAAUAUUGCACAAUGGGCGGAAGCCUGAUGCAGCAACGCCGCGUGCGGGAUGACGGCCUUCGGGUUGUAAACCGCUUUCGCCUGUGACGAAGCGUGAGUGACGGUAAUGGGUAAAGAAGCACCGGCUAACUACGUG
rnacentral:rRNA from 1 species